rnacentral:rRNA from 1 species
CAGUAGCCACGGUAAUACGUAGGUGGCGAGCGUUGUCCGGAUUUAUUGGGCGUAAAGGGAGUGUAGGCGGUCUUUUAAGUCUGAUGUGAAAGCCCACGGCUCAACCGUGGAGGGUCAUUGGAAACUGGGAGACUUGAGUGCAGAAGAGGAGAGCGGAAUUCCAUGUGUAGCGGUGAAAUGCGUAGAUAUAUGGAGGAACACCAGUGGCGAAGGCGGCUCUCUGGUCUGUAACUGACGCUGAGGCUCGAAAGCGUGGGGAGCAAACAGGAUUAGAUACCCGUGUAGUCCCUGUCUCUUAUAA